ensembl:lncRNA
CCGCCGCGCCGCCGCCCCGCGGCCCCGGCCGGAGGAGACAGGAAGCCUGGCGCCUCGGCCACCUCGGUCCCGACCCUGCCCCGCGCCCUCGGCCUGACGUCGCCAACUUCUGAGUUCAGCCACUGUUCCCUCUGCUUGAAACCCUCCUGUCCCCUGUGGCCUCGCAGGGCGGCCACACUCGGGGCUGCCCCUGUGUUUUGUUUGUUUUACCUGCACCGUCCUCUGGUCUGCUCCUUUGAAGACACCUCCGUUCCCGCAGCCAAGCUGUGCCUGGGGAAGAGGGGCCAAUGCCUCGGUACACCCAGGUCCCCAGCCCCUGCCCUGCAGAAGUCCCCGCACGUUUGUCUGCAUCUCUGCACCGCUCUCCCUUUCCCGAGCCGGCUCGCCUCCCAGAGCUCUUGAACUUAACCCGUUCC